rnacentral:rRNA from 1 species
AUUGAACGCUGGCGGCAGGCCUAACACAUGCAAGUCGGACGGUAGCACAGAGGAGCUUGCUCCUUGGGUGACGAGUGGCGGACGGGUGAGUAAUGUCUGGGGAUCUGCCCGAUAGAGGGGGACAACCACUGGAAACGGUGGCUAAUACCGCAUAACGUCGCAAGACCAAAGAGGGGGACCUUCGGGCCUCUCACUAUCGGAUGAACCCAGAUGGGAUUAGCUAGUAGGCGGGGUAAUGGCCCACCUAGGCGACGAUCCCUAGCUGGUCUGAGAGGAUGACCAGCCACACUGGAACUGAGACACGGUCCAGACUCCUACGGGAGGCAGCAGUGGGGAAUAUUGCACAAUAGGCGCAAGCCUGAUGCAGCCAUGCCGCGUGUAUGAAGAAGGCCUUCGGGUUGUAAAGUACUUUCAGCGGGGAGGAAGGCGAUGCGGUUAAUAACCGCGUCGAUUGACGUUACCCGCAGAAGAAGCACCGGCUAACUCCGUGCCAGCCGCCGCUGUAA